GAGGAAUAUUGGUCAAUGGACGGAAGUCUGAACCAGCCAAGUAGCGUGCAGGAUGACGGCCCUAUGGGUUGUAAACUGCUUUUGUAUGGGGAUAAAGUUAGGGACGUGUCCCUAUUUGCAGGUACCAUACGAAUAAGGACCGGCUAAUUCCGUGCCAGCAGCCGCGGUAAUACGGAAGGUCCAGGCGUUAUCCGGAUUUAUUGGGUUUAAAGGGAGCGUAGGCUGGAGAUUAAGUGUGUUGUGAAAUGUAGACGCUCAACGUCUGAAUUGCAGCGCAUACUGGUUUCCUUGAGUACGCACAACGUUGGCGGAAUUCGUCGUGUAGCGGUGAAAUGCUUGGAUAUGACGAAGAACUCCGAUUGCGAAGGCAGCUGACGGGAGCGCAACUGACGCUUAAGCUCGAAGGUGCGGGUAUCAAACAGGAUUAGAUACCCUGGUAGUCCGCACAGUAAACGAUGGAUGCCCGCUGUUGGUACCUGGUAUCAGCGGCUAAGCGAAAGCAUUAAGCAUCCCACCUGGGGAGUACGCCGGCAACGGUG
rnacentral:rRNA from 1 species